rnacentral:tRNA from 1 species
GCCCAGGUGGUGAAAUUGGUAGACACGCUACUUUGAGGGGGUAGUGCCUUAACCGGCGUGCUGGUUCGAGUCCAGUCCUGGGCA